rnacentral:rRNA from 1 species
GGAAGUAAAAGUCGUAACAAGGUUUCCGUAGGUGAACCUGCGGAAGGAUCAUUGUCGAAACCUGCCUAGCAGAAAGACCUGUGAACACGUCAUUAACCACUCAAAGGGCGAGGGGUACAAUGCUCCAGUCCUCCAAAAACAAACCCCGGCGCGGAAUGCGUCAAGGAAAAAAAAACAAAACGACCCAUGCCACCUUUUUGCCCUGGAAACGGUGCAUCACUGUGGUGGUUGAUUCGUGAUUGGUUUAAGUCAAAACGACUCUCGGCAACGGAUAUCUCGGCUCUCGCAUCGAUGAAGAACGUAGCGAAAUGCGAUACUUGGUGUGAAUUGCAGAAUCCCGUGAACCAUCGAGUCUUUGAACGCAAGUUGCGCCCGAAGCCAUCCGGCUGAGGGCACGUCUGCCUGGGCGUCACACAUCGUUGCCCCCCAAGCCCCAUGCCAUUCCCAAUUGGGAGCGUGUGGUCCUAUCAUGGGGGCGGAUGAUGGCCUCCCGUGUGCUUUGUCUCGCGGUUGGUCCAAAACUGAGUCCUUGGUCACGUCAUCGUGGCAACAGGUGGUUGUCGAUCAUUCGGUGCCCCGUCACGUGCGCUGGCCUUGCAUUAGGAACAGAGACCCCAAUGCACCCCAUAGCGGAUGCUUGCAACGCGACCCCAGGUCAGGCGGGGCUACCCGCUGAGUUUAAGCAUAUCAAUAAGCGGAGGA